AAAAGAGCUGUAUACGGACAAAUACGGGAUGGGAAAUCCCUGCUAAACUUUAGGUUUGCCAGAUUUUUGAGGCAGAGUGCUUGGAAAGGUAAUACACCAAAGUAAACUUGUGAAACAUCCAGAAACUUUACGUUUGUGGAUGUAUAUAGGAACUGGUGGAAGUUUCCAGGAAUCCUGUGAGGAGAGGUGGGUGUGAGGUGUGAAGGGCUUUUUAUAUGUUAAUGACCCACAGGUAAAGGUGUCUUCUUUGUUUUCAGAACUGAGUGGGGUGGGGUGGGGGGUUAACCAUGUCUCUUUAAGACAGCACAUACAGUAUUGUGGUACAUAAAAACUGUUUUCUAAAUACGUUUAUUAUUAAUAUAAUUUAAUUAGUCUAUUUAAGAAACUUAGCAUCCUUCAAAAUAACUAAAAUUCAAUGGACACAAUUACAAUUUUAAUGUGUGAAAAUUAUGUCUCUGACUCAAGAGAAAUGCAACAAAUGUUAUUUCAGAAUAUUUAUUUCCAACACUUUGAAAACAUGUCUUGAACUGCCCUAGGUCAGAAUAUUGUGCACGUUUCUCUCAAUGCUGCAUACAUCGUUUAAAAGAAGCCGUUCAAAUGACAUCAUGUAACACAUUUUUGCUAGCUAGGAUGUUGAUAAAUUAGUCAGUGAAAUGUAAAGCUGCUUGAUUUUGCUGAUGUCUCAUGAUUUGAAGUUCACUGUUUCUAUUUUUAUUAUAAUUCUACCCUAACAUUUCAUUAAAUCUUUUAAAAUAGAAACAAAAAUAUCAAUAGACAGGUCCAUAAUCUAAAAGACAGUCUUUCACAUGUGAAUGCAAAACAUGUUCGGUGAUACUGACUGACAAACUUGGGUAAACAUAUCUGCAGAUACCUGUCCGCUACUGUACUUCUAAUCCAGAGGUGCCCAAAGUUGGCCCACAAUAGAUCUUUAAUUUGGCCCAUCAUGCCACGUGAGAUAAGGAAAAAGAAAACAAAAGUCUUGACGCAGAUGUUCAUAUUUUUAAUUAAACAUUUUCUAAAAUGUAUCAUUUUUUGUUGUAUUUUUACAUUACAAAAAUGUAAAUUAAGAUUAAAUGCAAGGGAUUAAAGUGAUUUUUUUAUGUUUCAUGCAUACUUGAAGGUGUAUAAAAUGCACCACAAAACUUAAUGAACUCGGGUACUACAGGCUAAAAAUGAAGAGGUUUUGGCAGUGGCACACAGAGAAAAGGAUAUUUAAAAUUGAUUUGCAAAAUGAUUUCUUUUUUUUACAAAAAGCCUUGGAAAAUAAAACUGCAUUAGUUAUGCAUAAACAGAGUAAUGUUUGCUUAUUUAUUUUUUAAAUAUUAGAAAAUUAUAAAUUAGGGGUUAUCAGAGCAACUUUAAUUUUAAUAUAACACAACACCAUUUACUUUUGGCCCACGGCCCUCAGUCAGGUUUGGCCCUUGUAAGGAAAAUGUUCGGGCACCAAUCAAUGUAUAGUCUAUCUAAGGAGGUAACUGUUAGCAUAUGAUAAUGCAUGCUUGUACAAAGUCAGACCACAUAUUAUCAUGUUUGUCUUCAAUCAAUCAAUUUAAAUAAAAGAAAUGGGGACUUUAUUAAAUAAUAAGGGUCCAUAUAUCACAGUGAUAAAAGACAUACAUAUAUUUUUACUUUAACAUGAACUAAUGCUGAGUUAAGGCAUAUACUAUCAUAAACUAAUGAAGAGUCAUCAUUAACAUGACAUGCUUUUCAUUGUUAGUUAAUGCAUUCAUUUACAAUAAAUUAAUUUGAGUUCAUGUUGUAAUUAACUAAGUUCAGUAAGUUACAUGUCUUAACUCAGCAUUAGUUUAUAUUUACUUAUAUUUAAGUAAGAAUUCAUUUAGGUAUACGUUCAAUGUUUCCAAUGAUGAGCAGUUAAUCCACUAAACCCAGAGAUAAUUCCUGAGGCAUGUUUAAAGAGUUUUGUAUUUCAUCAAGAAAGUGCUGAUUCACAAAGAUUUUAUAUUUAAGAAAAUCUGAGCAUCAUUCAAAAUAACUGUUAACAUGUUUGUCAACUAAACAUGUUUUGUCAACGUUAUAAACUUUAUAGAAAUAUUCUUUAUUUUUUAUUAAUGACCAAGUAUAAAGAACAAUGCAUGGUGUGAAAACGCGGAUUAUAUAAAAGUAUAUAAUAAAGUGCGAGCAGAGGAUCAAUCAAACUUGGGCUGGAAUGAUUGUAGUGCAUCCAAUGCAUCUUGGAAUUCGUAGUUUACAUCUACAGCAGCAUAUGGUACAGCAGUGACAACGCCAGAGAAAAGGACUACAUUUCCCAGAAUGCACCUACACCCACUCAUCUGCCCCACCCUUCAGGUGCGACCGCUCGACCUAUGGGCUUGACGGGAAAAUUCAAAAUCGCGAACCGUUACAGCCUGGACUACUCGCUGUCUUUGUUUGUUUGCUCAUCAACAGUAAGAGGUCAUGUACACUUUGGUCAACUUUGUGGACGCUGAAGAGGUUUCUGGGUAAAGAUGAUAAAAAUAUAAUUAAGUAACAGUGGAAGCUAAAACAUCAGACUGAUCCAGACACUGAAGAAAUUGAUGUCACUGCAAUCUGGCCAAAAUGAUACAACUAGAUUGGAGUAGCCUACUGUAAUGAAGCUGCAGAACGUCACAGAGACUCUGACAUCAACACAGAAAAUCUAGGCUCCAAAGAGAUGUCUGUCCAGAUGAGGGUGCAUCAACGUUACCUUUGCUGACAAUUAUAUGCUUUUAGCAGUUAACUUAACUCAAACCAUUUAAGGAAAUCGGUUGCCUUAAACCAUUAAGUUUUUAAAAACAUACAUUUGAGUACUGUGAACUUAAGUCUUGUGCAAUUAUGCACUUAUAUUUAGGUAGUGUGAACUUAAAUAUAAGUGCUUAACUGCAUGUGACUCAAUUUGUUUAAGUUCACAGUACUCAAAUCUAUGUGUUUUAAAACUUGAAUGGUUUAAUGCAACCGGUUUUCUUAAAUGUGAGAAAUUACAGUGUUACAGUAAGAAAUGUUUGAAUAAUUCCAAGACAGAGCUCUGUGAUUAAUUCUACACUGCAAAAAAUCACUUUCUAACACUUUUUAUCUUGUUUUCAGUAGAAAAACUAAAAAUUCUUAAAUCAAGAUGUAUUUUCUUGAUGAGCAAAAUUACCUUAGAAAAUGUCUAGUUUUUAGACAAAAAUAUACAAUUACAGAUAA